UACGUAGGAUCCAAGCGUUGUCCGGAAUUACUGGGUGUAAAGGGUGCGCAGGCGGACUUGUGCGUCAGAGGUUAAAUACCCCGGCUCAACCGGGGAAAUGCCUUUGAAACGGCAGGUCUUGAGUGCGAGAGAGGAUGGUAGAAUUCCUGGUGUAGCGGUGAAAUGCGUAGAUAUCAGGUGGAAUACCAGUGGCGAAGGCGGCCAUCUGGCUCGCAACUGACGAUCAGGCACGAAAGAGUGGGGAGCAAACAGG
rnacentral:rRNA from 1 species